rnacentral:sRNA from 1 species
GGGAAACAAAUUUCUGUUUGCUUUCUCACACUAGAGGCCCUGUCUGCAAGCCCAGUGUCCGUUGUUGGCCGUAUAGACAACGAUAUCUGCUAGAAGAAGGGGAUGCAAGGCGGACGAUACCUCAGCUUUCAAGGAGGUAUUUCGACCAAUAAGUUCUGCAUUGGUUGUUUCCAAGUAUUUCACCCUCUUUGCCAAAGACCCAUUGGUCCUUUUUCAACUGCUUAAUCUUAAAGAUCCUUAGCUGCGAUUACAGCAAUCUUCUCCUUGAGUUCUUUCUGUUGUAGCAGUAUCUUGGUUUGCUCAGCUGAGAGUAUUGAGCCAACUUCAGUGAACUUGAAGAGUAUGUUUUUGAAAGAUUAAUCAUGGAUCUUUCUUGAUAUGUAAAAGUUCUGAUCAAAUAUUUUUAGUGUCUGUGA